GGAUUCCCCUAGUAACUGCGAGUGAAGCGGGAAAAGCUCAAAUUUAAAAUCUGGCGGUCUUUGGCCGUCCGAGUUGUAGUCUGGAGAAGUGCUUUCCGCGCUGGACCGUGUAUAAGUCUCUUGGAACAGAGCGUCAUAGAGGGUGAGAAUCCCGUCUUUGACACGGACUACCAGUGCUUUGUGAUGCGCUCUCAAAGAGUCGCGUUGUUUGGGAAUGCAGCGCAAAAUGGGUGGUGAAUUCCAUCUAAAGCUAAAUAUUGGCGAGAGACCGAUAGCGAACAAGUACCGUGAGGGAAAGAUGAAAAGCACUUUGGAAAGAGAGUUAAACAGUACGUGAAAUUGCUGAAAGGGAAACGCUUGAAGUCAGUCGCGUUGUCCGGGACUCAGCCUUGCUUCGGCUUGGUGCACUUCCCGGAUGACGGGCCAGCAUCGAUUUUGACCGCUGGAAAAGGGCUGGAGGAAUGUGGCACCUUCGGGUGUGUUAUAGCCUUCAGUCGCAUACGGCGGUUGGGAUCGAGGAACGCAGCACGCCUUUAUGGCGGGGGGUUAGCUCACCUUCGUGCUUAGGAUGCUGGCAUAAUGGCUUUAAACGACCCGUCUUGAAACACGGACCAAGGAGUCUAACAUGCCUGCGAGUGUUUGGGUGGAAAACCCGAGCGCGUAAUGAAAGUGAAAG
rnacentral:rRNA from 1 species